GGUAGGGGAGCGUUCUGUAAGCCUGUGAAGGUGGCCUGUGAGGGUUGCUGGAGGUAUCAGAAGUGCGAAUGCUGACAUAAGUAACGAUAAAGCGGGUGAAAAGCCCGCUCGCCGGAAGACCAAGGGUUCCUGUCCAACGUUAAUCGGGGCAGGGUGAGUCGACCCCUAAGGCGAGGCCGAAAGGCGUAGUCGAUGGGAAACGGGUUAAUAUUCCCGUACUUGGUGUUACUGCGAAGGGGGGACGGAGAAGGCUAUGUUGGCCGGGCGACGGUUGUCCCGGUUUAAGCGUGUAGGUGUGUGUUCCAGGUAAAUCCGGUUCACUUUAACACUGAGGCGUGAUGACGAGGCACUACGGUGCUGAAGCAACAAAUGCCCUGCUUCCAGGAAAAGCCUCUAAGCAUCAGGUAACAUCAAAUCGUACCCCAAACCGACACAGGUGGUCAGGUAGAGAAUACCAAGGCGCUUGAGAGAACUCGGGUGAAGGAACUAGGCAAAAUGGUGCCGUAACUUCGGGAGAAGGCACGCUGACACGUAGGUGAAGUGAUUUACUCAUGGAGCUGAAGUCAGUCGAAGAUACCAGCUGGCUGCAACUGUUUAUUAAAAACACAGCACUGUGCAAACACGAAAGUGGACGUAUACGGUGUGACGCCUGCCCGGUGCCGGAAGGUUAAUUGAUGGGGUCAGCGCAAGCGAAGCUCCUGAUCGAAGCCCCGGUAAACGGCGGCCGUAACUAUAACGGUCCUAAGGUAGCGAAAUUCCUUGUCGGGUAAGUUCCGACCUGCACGAAUGGCGUAAUGAUGGCCAGGCUGUCUCCACCCGAGACUCAGUGAAAUUGAACUCGCUGUGAAGAUGCAGUGUACCCGCGGCAAGACGGAAAGACCCCGUGAACCUUUACUAUAGCUUGACACUGAACAUUGAGCCUUGAUGUGUAGGAUAGGUGGGAGGCUUUGAAGUGUGGACGCCAGUCUGCAUGGAGCCGACCUUGAAAUACCACCCUUUAAUGUUUGAUGUUCUAACGUGGACCCGUAAUCCGGGUUGCGGACAGUGUCUGGUGGGUAGUUUGACUGGGGCGGUCUCCUCCUAAAGAGUAACGGAGGAGCACGAAGGUUGGCUAAUCCUGGUCGGACAUCAGGAGGUUAGUGCAAUGGCAUAAGCCAGCUUGACUGCGAGCGUGACGGCGCGAGCAGGUGCGAAAGCAGGUCAUAGUGAUCCGGUGGUUCUGAAUGGAAGGGCCAUCGCUCAACGGAUAAAAGGUACUCCGGGGAUAACAGGCUGAUACCGCCCAAGAGUUCAUAUCGACGGCGGUGUUUGGCACCUCGAUGUCGGCUCAUCACAUCCUGGGGCUGAAGUAGGUCCCAAGGGUAUGGCUGUUCGCCAUUUAAAGUGGUACGCGAGCUGGGUUUAGAACGUCGUGAGACAGUUCGGUCCCUAUCUGCCGUGGGCGCUGGAGAACUGAGGGGGGCUGCUCCUAGUACGAGAGGACCGGAGUGGACGCAUCACUGGUGUUCGGGUUGUCAUGCCAAUGGCACUGCCCGGUAGCUAAAUGCGGAAGAGAUAAGUGCUGAAAGCAUCUAAGCACGAAACUUGCCCCGAGAUGAGUUCUCCCUGAGACUUAGAGUCUCCUGAAGGAACGUUGAAGACGACGACGUUGAUAGGCCGGGUGUGUAAGCGCAGCGAUGCGUUGAGCUAACCGGUACUAAUGAACCGUGAGGCUUAACCUUACA
rnacentral:rRNA from 1 species